rnacentral:rRNA from 1 species
AUUGAACGCUGGCGGCAGGCCUAACACAUGCAAGUCGAGCGGAUGAAGGGAGCUUGCUCCUGGAUUCAGCGGCGGACGGGUGAGUAAUGCCUAUGAAUCUGCCUGGUAGUGGGGGAUAACGUCCGGAAACGGGCGCUAAUACCGCAUACGUCCUGAGGGAGCAAGUGGGGGAUCUUCGGACCUCACGCUAUCAGAUGAGCCUAGGUCGGAUUAGCUAGUUGGUGGGGUAAAGGCCUACCAAGGCGACGAUCCGUAACUGGUCUGAGAGGAUGAUCAGUCACACUGGAACUGAGACACGGUCCAGACUCCUACGGGAGGCAGCAGUGGGGAAUAUUGGACAAUGGGCGAAAGCCUGAUCCAGCCAUGCCGAGUGUGUGAAGAAGGUCUUCGGAUUGUAAAGCACUUUAAGUUGGGAGGAAGGGCAGUAAGUUAAUACCUUGCUGUUUUGACGUUACCAACAGAAUAAGCACCGGCUAACUUCGUG